CUCCGUCUCUGACGCUUGUCUCCCAGUCGUGUUCGUCGUAUUCAACGAUAUCUAUGGCCCAGAGCACGUUCUGCUGUCCCUGGUUUAUAUGCUUUAAAUG